UAGUUAGGACGCUCCAACUCUAGCAGUAGUCGUGUACGUAUAUUUUCAGGUGGAACUAACGAUUCCUUACUCUAGUCACGUAUAUAGGUGAAGGAAUCAAGGAAGGGGUGGAUUUUGUUGGAAUUCAUGCUAAUCACUCUUUGUGUUAGCCUUUUUUUGUUUGAUGGCAUUGCCUCACUGAUGUAAUGCUAUUACUCAAUAAAUAAAACAUCCAUCCAAUUUGGCGGUUAUCUAUAUCUAUAUAUGUUAUUAAAAAUAGGAUAGUUUUAGGAUAAAAAGUGGUUACUUAGUUAUUAAUUAAUUAAUUUAGUUAGUGUUUUGAAUUUUAAUUCAAAAAUAAAUGGGAAGUUAUCAAGUGGUAAAGUUAAUAAAUGUAAAAAAAAAAAAAAAAAAAAAAAUACAAACGCAGGAACAAUUUGGUUCCACCAAAUGAGGAUAAUGGUCCGGAACUUCCAAGCAGUUAAUUAGAAUUAUAGUUUUCCAUUUUAUUUUUAUUUGUAAUUGUAUCUUAAAAAAAAUGAAGAGAAAAAAAGACAAAAAAGGAGAAGGUGGUUUACGAAGGAAAUAAGAAAGAAAGAAAGUGGGGGAAAAAAAAAAAAAAAAAAGACGGAACCGAAAGUUGGAUUGGGAAGUUACCAUCCACUCAAAUAACUUCAUUACUUCCGACUUCUGGACCAAAAAGUUAUGCAUAUUGGUUCCUGCUGAAAAGGUUGUUGAUUGAUCUACUUUGAUUCCCAUCAUCAAUGCCAGCAGCUGCUGCAAUCUUUACUACGCAGUGCACUCUCGGUGUGUCUAAUGAGUGGGAAUAAAACCUGUAAGAAGCAUAGCAGCUAUGUUAAAGAUCAACUUUUGUAAGUAUAGUAUUGAUGAAUGUCAAUUUAUUGAGAAAUCGACAGAGAUGUUUGAUUGUGCCCUUCUCUUUAGUAUAACAGGGAAUGCUCGAAAUUGAUGGUUUCUUUUCCAUCAGAAGGCUACUAUUGGGAAGCUUACUGAUGUGCACCGAAAGUACAACGCUUCUAAAUAUAGAUAUGCUGCUAGAUGUGAACCAACCUUUUUUCUAUUAGAAGGAUGGUUGUAUGUUAGAAUGUGAAGUGAAGAAAUUAAAGUCAUGGUGAUAAUAAGCUGCUUCAACCAUCAACCUCUAGCACUCUGCAGAUCAAUUAGUUUAGUUUCCUCAUCAUCUUAUGUAUCAGCAGGGUUUAUGCAUAUUUCAUUUUGCAUCCUGUAUGCAGCUAAACUGAGUGGACUUUAAUAUUGUUGUCACCCCUCCCUUUAUAUCAUCUGAAAAAUAUAAGGUAAAUAGUUAUAUGUCAUUUGAAUAGCUUAUUCUUUAGAAACAAAAGUUUUGCACGUUUCGCUAUAACAAAUUGCUUGGGUUGAUGUAAGAUGAGUAUUCUCUAUUAAUAGUCACUCUUAAUUGUGUUAGUUUCAGUGACAUCCUUUUUGUUUUCACCAUUUCCCAUUUUCUAGAAUUCAAGAACUGCUCUUAGGCAAAACCAAUGUCAUUCAUGCCACUGCAGUUAUUUUAUGUUUUGUAAGGUACUCUACCUAAACACUUGCUUGGAACAAAUAUUGAGUUUCUGUUAUAUGUUGCAUUGUGCUUUUCGAUCGUUGUAUACCAUUUUAUAUGAGGAGUUUGGGUGCUCAUGGAACUCGAUAGGGAUAUCUGGAUCAGAACCUUUCCUUCUUUCUUGCUGAACCAGUAAAUUUCCUAAGAUAAUUCCUAUCAUCUAAACAUUAUUAGAUUAGGAUAAUAUUAUAUCAGCAAGAAUGUAGGAUAUCUGAUUACCAGUCAAUCCUGCCCCACAUAAAUCUAUUUGAUGAUUACUUUUCUCUGUCCACAUUAGCUUUGAAUUUAUGGUUAUUCAUUUAUAUGUAUUCUUUUUUUUUUCUUACUUCUGUUCAAUUGCAUGUUAUUGCGCCAGGUCACAGUUCAGUUGCUAACCUCUUAAACAGGAUUCAGGUAGCACAUCUUAACAUCUAAAGCCACAUGAUUUUUGUUAUGAGCAAAGUGACAGAAGGUGCAUUUGACUUGCAGAGCAUUUGAGCAGCAAAUGGAACUUAGGGAGAGAGGUUUGUAGUCAGGAUAUGAGAAUAAGCAUGAUGAAUUUGUUGCUGGGGAAGUCCUAUUUCAGGAGACACCGGCCAUGAUCACAUUGAUAAGGUCUCAUUUGAUCAGCUGGCGUGUUUCUUCUCUCUGCUAUUUUAUGUCAUUUUAUCCUUUAUAAUUGACACACCAACUAUAUUUUCCGCUAGCAAAAAGUGAAGGAUAAUAGACGAAGAUGAACGAACAAAAUAAGAAGUUGCUGGCGAAUGAGAGGCAAAUAUACAAAGCUGUGUUUUGCUUGAACAAUGUAAUACUGUCCGCGAAGGAGAAUCUUUUGAUCCGAUAUCUUAGUACAAAGCGGGAAAGAUGAAUACUAUUGCCUGCCCGAAAAUUAUUGUUACUUUUUUAAUCCUUUAAUUGCUUUUUGCACUACAUGUAGAGUUAUAGAAGAUCUAUUAUACAUAUAAGAACCUUUUCCUUUUCUUUCUAA